GGUGGAGCCCCGGAGGCGCUGCCCGCUGACGACCGGCUUUCUGAGCCUCGGUUUGGGCGGCGCGGACAGCCGGGCUUGGCUUCAGGCUCUAAGUCAAAUGAAAUAAAUUUCACUUCUUCACAGCACUGGGAGACAAUGGACUAGUGGGAAGCUCUCCUGGCACCAAUGGCUAACACUGACAGGGAGACUGCACUCUGGGCAGUGGAGACAGACUGCAACGGGACACACCUUCCUUGCCAGAUGAUACUUUAAACAUCUAACUCCACUUCUAGGACUUUUUAAAUAGUUAAGAAGAUGGAAGACAAGCAGGAGGCAGAAAAGAUCCAAGAAGAUUACUGAUAUCCUCACAUCUGCCAGAAGCUGUAACUACUCCUGAGGGAGAAUGCACAGAAUGUCUUGCCUUGAAGUUACAACAGGGAAAACCAGGAAUGGAUGGUUCGUGCCAACUUCCUUCGUUUUGUUCCUUCCUUUGAAUACAAGAUGCAUAUUAUCUUUUCCAAGUUCUUUUCUAAGUACUGUAUGCUGUAUUUAGUGAGCCCAUAAGGAAGGGUUAGAAAGAAAUGGGGUAACUUGUUUCCCCAAUAGCUCUCAUUUCCCAAGCUACCUCAGAAGUCAGUGGAAAAAGUCACAUAUUAUAUAUGUGACUAUAUAUAAUUAAUAAUUAAAAUCAACUGUUACACAAUUUCUGCCUAAUUUCUCAUAUUGCUUGUACCCAAACGGAAACGCUCACCAUAAUUAAAGUUGCUCAAAUUGCUGCUAUAUUUCCCACUAGGAGGAUUAUAUAUCUGCCUGGCAUCCCUUUUUGGUCCGGCUGAAGAUUUCUUGGGUGGUGAACCAGAAGUUGUAUCUUCAUUGGCUCUCUUCUGCCUGUAAUGGUUUCCAAGAUAAUGUUACUGUGCUUUUAUAAGAAGGAGGAAUGUGGAAGAGAUCCUAAAAAGACAAAAUGAAGACAAGAUUUCUAAUAUAUCUGGUGGUACAGAGAAUGGUGGUGAGGGUAAGAAACAUGGAGACAUCUUAAAGUUUAGGAGAGAGUAAGUUCUUAUCUAUCCUUGUUCACCUAAAAAAAAAGUUGCAAGAGAAAAAACAAACAGAUGAUUUUGUUUACAAAUUAUAUCUAUUACACUUCAUUAAUGUCAUUUUGUAUGUAUCACUUCAGAAACUAGCUAAGAUUUUUUUUGGUUUUGUUUUAUUCAUUUGAGAGAGAGAGAAAGAAAGAGAGCAC